rnacentral:rRNA from 1 species
CUUGCUACUUUGCCGGCGAGCGGCGGACGGGUGAGUAAUGUCUGGGAAACUGCCUGAUGGAGGGGGAUAACUACUGGAAACGGUAGCUAAUACCGCAUAAUGUCGCAAGACCAAAGAGGGGGACCUUCGGGCCUCUUGCCAUCAUAUGUGCCCAGAUGGGAUUAGCUAGUAGGUGGGGUAACGGCUCACCUAGGCGACGAUCCCUAGCUGGUCUGAGAGGAUGACCAGCCACACUGGAACUGAGACACGGUCCAGACUCCUACGGGAGGCAGCAGUGGGGAAUAUUGCACAAUGGGCGCAAGCCUGAUGCAGCCAUGCCGCGUGUAUGAAGAAGGCCUUCGGGUUGUAAAGUACUUUCAGCGGGGAGGAAGGUGUUGAGGUUAAUAACCUCAGCAAUUGACGUUACCCGCAGAAGAAGCACCGGCUAACUCCGUGCCAGCAGCCGCGGUAAUACGGAGGGUGCAAGCGUUAAUCGGAAUUACUGGGCGUAAAGCGCACGCAGGCGGUCUGUCAAGUCGGAUGUGAAAUCCCCGGGCUCAACCUGGGAACUGCAUUCGAAACUGGCAGGCUAGAGUCUUGUAGAGGGGGGUAGAAUUCCAGGUGUAGCGGUGAAAUGCGUAGAGAUCUGGAGGAAUACCGGUGGCGAA